AUAUGGAGCACACAAGCUAAAUUAAGAAAAACUUUGAUUGAUUUUCUUAAUAUGGUAAUAGUUGAGGGCGUCAAUAAUUCCCACUUCAUUUUGUCAUGUGUUAACACAUCAACCUUGUGAUCCUCCUCAUCUUCUUCCUAGAGAAUGUUUGGACUACCCUGUUGUUAACCUGCAAUGUCAGAUAUUGCAGGCUCUGUUAUGAAGACAUGCUCUUUUUCUGUGGAUGUUCGGAGACUUAUUCAAACUCUACCUUAUGGUAGUUGUUAGGUUCCUUUCUCCCAAGUAGCUCAUAGUGCAACCUGCCAAAAUUAGAAUCGAACUGUUUCCCAUUGCAUACAUAAUGUAUUGAAAUAACAUAAUGUCUUAAUUAUUGAUGUAUUCUUCUUUUUUACUAUGCAUACCUACCAUGUUAUUAUGAUCAAA